rnacentral:rRNA from 1 species
GUUUGGUUAAGUUAGAAAGGGCGCACGGUGGAUGCCUUGACACUAGGAGUCGAUGAAGGACGGGACUAACGCCGAUAUGCUUCGGGGAGCUGUAAGUAAGCUUUGAUCCGAAGAUUUCCGAAUGGGGAAACCCACCAUACGUAAUGGUAUGGUAUCCUUAUCUGAAUACAUAGGGUAAGGAAGACAGACCCAGGGAACUGAAACAUCUAAGUACCUGGAGGAAGAGAAAGCAAAUGCGAUUUCCUGAGUAGCGGCGAGCGAAACGGAACAUAGCCCAAACCAAGAGGCUUGCCUCUUGGGGUUGUAGGACAUUCUAUACGGAGUUACAAAGGAACGAGGUAGACGAAGCGACCUGGAAAGGUCCGUCGUAGAGGGUAACAACCCCGUAGUCGAAACUUCGUUCUCUCUUGAAUGUAUCCUGAGUACGGCGGAACACGUGAAAUUCCGUCGGAAUCUGGGAGGACCAUCUCCCAAGGCUAAAUACUCCCUAGUGAUCGAUAGUGAACCAGUACCGUGAGGGAAAGGUGAAAAGCACCCCGGAAGGGGAGUGAAAGAGAUCCUGAAACCGUGUGCCUACAAAUAGUCAGAGCCCGUUAACGGGUGAUGGCGUGCCUUUUGUAGAAUGAACCGGCGAGUUACGAUCCCGUGCGAGGUUAAGCUGAAGAGGCGGAGCCGCAGCGAAAGCGAGUCUGAAUAGGGCGUUUAGUACGUGGUCGUAGACCCGAAACCAGGUGAUCUACCCAUGUCCAGGGUGAAGUUCAGGUAACACUGAAUGGAGGCCCGAACCCACGCACGUUGAAAAGUGCGGGGAUGAGGUGUGGGUAGCGGAGAAAUUCCAAUCGAACCUGGAGAUAGCUGGUUCUCCCCGAAAUAGCUUUAGGGCUAGCCUUAAGUGUAAGAGUCUUGGAGGUAGAGCACUGAUUGGACUAGGGGUCCUCAUCGGAUUACCGAAUUCAGUCAAACUCCGAAUGCCAAUGACUUAUCCUUAGGAGUCAGACUGCGAGUGAUAAGAUCCGUAGUCAAAAGGGAAACAGCCCAGACCGCCAGCUAAGGUCCCAAAGUGUGUAUUAAGUGGAAAAGGAUGUGGAGUUGCUUAGACAACUAGGAUGUUGGCUUAGAAGCAGCCACCAUUUAAAGAGUGCGUAAUAGCUCACUAGUCGAGUGACUCUGCGCCGAAAAUGUACCGGGGCUAAA